UAGUUUGGCGCUCACCCGCUAAGGGCUCC
rnacentral:sRNA from 1 species